AUUGAACGCUGGCGGCAUGCUUUACACAUGCAAGUCGAACGGCAGCGCGGGCUUCGGCCUGGCGGCGAGUGGCGAACGGGUGAGUAAUACAUCGGAACGUGCCCAGUUGUGGGGGAUAGCUCGGCGAAAGCCGGAUUAAUACCGCAUACGACCUGAGGGUGUAAGCGGGGGAUCUUCGGACCUCGCGCUAUUGGAGCGGCCGAUGGCAGAUUAGCUAGUUGGUGGGGUAAAGGCCUACCAAGGCGACGAUCUGUAGCUGGUCUGAGAGGACGACCAGCCACACUGGGACUGAGACACGGCCCAGACUCCUACGGGAGGCAGCAGUGGGGAAUUUUGGACAAUGGGCGAAAGCCUGAUCCAGCAAUGCCGCGUGUGUGAUGAAGGCCUUCGGGUUGUAAAGCACUUUUGGCGGGAACGAAAAGGACUGUGCCAAUACCACGGUUCGAUGACGGUACCCGCAGAAUAAGCACCGGCUAACUACGUG
rnacentral:rRNA from 1 species